rnacentral:rRNA from 1 species
UACGUAGGGGGCAAGCGUUGUCCGGAUUUAUUGGGCGUAAAGAGCGUGUAGGCGGCCGUACAGGUCAGCUGUGAAAACUCGAGGCUCAACCUCGAGACGUCGGUUGAAACCGUACGGCUAGAGUCCGGAAGAGGAGAGUGGAAUUCCCGGUGUAGCGGUGAAAUGCGCAGAUAUCGGGAAGAACACCCGUGGCGAAGGCGGCUCUCUGGGACGGUACUGACGCUGAGACGCGAAAGCGUGGGGAGCGAUCCGG